AACCUUUAGCGUGUCUUUAGUUUUUCCUCUCUUGAGGAUAUUUUUUUGAAGCCUACCUUUUUGGGCCUUCCUUGAUCUUUUUCUAGGGUCACAUAUGUUCGAAUGAUUCUACCUCACACAGAUAGCCCUUCCAUAUUUUGGCUAUGAUACUAGACAUGUUUGAGAGAUGAAAAAAGAAACAAAUUCUGCAAUACUCAAUCGCUCAUAUCCUUGAGAGCUGGUACGGCCACAAAAAUUACUUUCUCAACCCUUCCUGCCAUGUGUUUUGUUUGUUUAUGAUGCACCACUCUGGGCAAUUUUCAAAUCUUUCUUAUAUAAAUCAAGGAUUAAUAAUCUUCUAUCUUCUUUAUGGUUUCUUGCAAAAUCCAUCAUGAAUUUUAUUCAUCCCCACAAAUCGCUAAACUUGCUUAGAUAUGCUUCUCAUCAUAGCCAUGUCUUCUUUGCCUUCAUGUUCUUUCAAGCUAUUUUUUUCUAGGGGUACUUUAAAAGGUAGGAGAAAUAAAAAAGGAUACCCACAUCCCCCUAGGCCUAAUAUUGAUAAUAUUGUCCCUAGAGUCUUCUAUUUUAAAGAUGACUUCAAGAUUCUUUCAAUUAAUUGUUUCUAGCUAAAAGAUUAGGCCAUAGAUAAUUUUUUAUUUCUUAUAAAAAGAGUGAUAUCCCCACAAUUCGGUUAGAUUAUAACUAGUUUCAAGAUAAAUAUUAGGUGUUAGCUCCCCAGUUAUCCAAGAGAAUCUCCUCCCCCAAGAAUGACAAUUUAUUUGUUCAUACUUAUCCUUUUACUACAGGUCUAAGCAAUCCUAUUAAGGAAGUUAUUAUUUUCUUCUGCUCAACUUUUGAAUUGUCCCUAGGAAAAAUUAUGCCCGAAGUCUGGAGAAUUGCAACAUACCUUUGAGUUCUGACUCAGGAAGUUGGUCAACCUUUUACCUUGAACUACCUUCUACUUUUAUUUCCCUAGGAUUGUUCAUGAAGGAUUGAUGAAGCUGGAAUGACAAGGUAAGAAUUCUAUCUUGAAGAGAUUGGAU
rnacentral:lncRNA from 1 species